rnacentral:lncRNA from 10 species
GGCAAGACUGCUAGCGAGCGGCACCCUUUCUGCAGAAACUAAACUAGCCUUGCUGAGAGAUCCUUUGUCUCAGUGUUGAUUUUGCCACACCGAACUCCCAUUUCCAACAAUGGCAGAGCUAGGAUUUAAAGCCAGGCAGUCUGACUCUGAGAUUUGCCCUCAGCCAGCACACCUUGAGGCAGCUGAUACAAAGAACUUGAGGGUCCCCUGCCCUCCAGCGAGCCUAGUUGAGCCCCAGCUGGACUCCAAGUCGAGCCUCUGCAGCCAGGUGUCCGCCAGAUGUCUUCCACGGCCAGCAAGGGAACCGCCUGGGCACGCGUCAGUCUGGCCUGUUUCCUGAUCCAGAAAAUUAUUUUCAGCUGCGCGUGACCUUCCACGGGGCCAGGACCGGAAAACUAGACAGCAGUGAUCUUUUUAAAACCGUGGACUCUAUGAACUAGGAAAGUCCCCUCCAAACUCGUCAACAGGAAUUCACUGCUUAUUGGUACCAGUUUGGGAAAUCAUUGUUUUUUAAUUAAA